rnacentral:rRNA from 1 species
AUUGAACGCUGGCGGCAGGCCUAACACAUGCAAGUCGAACGGAAGAACGGUGCUUGCUUGUGGUUACAGCGGGGGACGGGUGGGUGAUGCCUGGGAAUCUCCCUGUUUGCGUUUUAGAACGGCCGGAAGCAGGGGCUAAUACCGCAUAAGUGCAGAGGGAGUAAGGGGGAGAGCUUCGGACCUUACGCUAUCAGGUGAUUGUAGGUCGGAUUAGCUAGUUGGUGGGGUAAAGGCCUACCAAGGCGACGAUCCGUAGCUGGUCUGAGAGGAUGAUCAGUCACACUGGAACUGAGACACGGUCCAGACUCCUACGGGAGGCAGCAGUGGGGAAUAUUGGACAAUGGGCGAAAGCCUGAUCCAGCCAUGCCGCGUGUGUGAAGAAGGCCUUCGGAUUGUAAAGCCCUUUUAGUUGGGAGGAAGGGCAGUAGGUUAAUACCCUGCUGUUUUGACGUUACCAACAGAAUAAGCACCGGCUAACUUCGUG